GGUGGCUCAGAGGUAGAGUGCUUGCCUUGCAUGCAGGAGGCCCUGGGUUUGAUUCCUCAGCACCA
rnacentral:tRNA from 1 species